rnacentral:rRNA from 1 species
UCACGGUCCCACUUCGNUGGCGCGCACACAGGUGCUGCAUGGCUGUCGUCAGCUCGUGUCGUGAGAUGUUGGUUAAGUCCCGCAACGAGCGCAACCCACGUCCUUAGUUGCCAUCAUUCAGUUGGGCACUCUAGGGAGACUGCCGGUGAUAAGCCGCGAGGAAGGUGUGGAUGACGUCAAGUCCUCAUGGCCCUUACGGGAUGGGCUACACACGUGCUACAAUGGCGGUGACAGUGGGACGCGAAGGAGCGAUCUGGAGCAAAUCCCCAAAAGCCGUCUCAGUUCGGAUUGCACUCUGCACCUUGGGUGCAAAAAGGCGG